GAAAUCUUUCUCCAAAAAUUAUUUUCUUGUGGUAUUUCCACUAAUUCAAGGGUACUUUACAACUUGGUGAAAUUAUUUUGGAAGAAAGAGCACUUGUUUCUUCAAGUUGACAACUUGGUCAAGUGAAGAAGAUUGUAGAAAAAGAUUUUGGACGAAACGGGAAUUGAAUUUGGGAAGGCGAAAAGAGCGAAUAAGGUUCAGAUGACAGAUUUGUUGAUCCGCCUGCUUAGGACUAUAUUCUGCUAUUUCGGGGCGCUCUUUUGUCCGGAGCCUAUAUUUUGGUACAGUCCUUUGCUAUUGUAUAUAUGUACGCUAUUCAGGGGUAUGACGGGGCCCUGUCCCGUCUUAUGAUUCUGUUGUGUUCUGUAGAGGUCUAUAGACAUACAUGUGGGUUCUGUAUAUGUUUUGGGUUGAUAUGAUCUGUGAUAGCCUUAUCGGCUUCCACGUGCUAUAUCUGUUCAUCUAUGAUAACUAGUAACGCCAACUGACUUUUAUAUUGAUACAUUCUGCUAA